AGAGUUUGAUCCUGGCUCAGAUUGAACGCUGGCGGCACGCCUAACACAUGCAAGUCGAGCGGUAGCAGUGUCAGUAGCAAUACUGACAGCUGACGAGCGGCGGACGGGUGAGGAACACGUAGGAAUCUACUUGAGCGGGGGACAACCAAGGGAAACUUUGGCUAAUACCGCAUACACUCGAGAGAGGAAAGUUGCCGUAA
rnacentral:rRNA from 1 species